rnacentral:lncRNA from 1 species
AGAAAAUGCAUUCAAAAAACUAGAGCUAGAAAGAAGGACAACCUGGGAAGAAAAAGCCUGAAGUUGAUCAGUGAAUUGAAAGAGAUGUGUGCCAUGAAAGAAAUUGAAGCUAGGGAAGAUGAAAAGGUCAUUGAAAAGGACAAUCGUUUUUAUGAUGAUUUGACUCUGGCAUCUCAUUUGAGAACCAGAGCAACUGAAUUUGAAAAACAGAAACUGGCAAUAAAGACCAUUUUUGAAGAGAAAACACAGACAUUUCUCAAGGAAAUCAAAGAGAUAUGUGCUAUGGAAAGUGAUGAACAUUCGGAAGAGGAAAACAUCCUUGAAAUGGAAAGAAUGAUUGAAAAUGAAACCGCUCUUAAUGAGGAAAACAUCACAGAAACAAAAACCACCACUGGGAAGAAAUCUAUUCGUUAUACUGGUUGGACCCUGGCCCGUCUCUGGACAAUCAGACAAAAUGAAAUAAAAAAACAAGAAAUGGCAAGAAAAGCAGCUCUGGAAGAGAAAGCUGAGAAUUACAUCAAAGUAAUCAAAGAGAUAUAUGCAAUGGAAAUCAAUGAUGACAAGGAGAAGAACGAAUUGAAUGCAAGGGAAUACACAAACACUUCUGAAAAGGUACCAGAAGUGGAACAAAAAAUAAGAGAAAAGGAAAAAACCAAAGAAAUAUCAGGAUUCCUGCUGAACAAAAACCUAGAAGAUCCACCCAUAAUAAUUUUAGAAACAGAAGACUCCAAUAAAUCUGACAAUAGGAGUGAGAACAUUGAAACUUUGGAAGCAUCACCAGAGACAAGGUCUGCAUCAUGGAUUCCCAGGUGUUUUCGUGGGUGCUCUUUCUUCAACGUGGAUUUCAGAACCCUCAGGAAAAAAUUCAAAAAGGGACCAAAAGAGAGAAAAGAUCAACAGAAGGAUCAAGGAAAUUUUCCAUCAACUCAAGGGGAAAUAUCGCGCCGUACCAUGGAAAGAGUAAGUUUGACAACUGAAAUGGCAAAACAGAAGUAUAUUCUUGGAAGCUUCUAG